rnacentral:rRNA from 1 species
GUUUUAAUCUUGCGACCGUACUCCCCAGGCGGAAUGCUUAAUCCGUUAGGUGUGACACCAACAAGUAUACUUGCUGACGUCUGGCAUUCAUCGUUUACGGUGUGGACUACCAGGGUAUCUAAUCCUGUUUGCUCCCCACACUUUCGUACCUCAGCGUCAGUAUCGAGCCAGUAAGCCGCCUUCGCCACUGGUGUUCCUCCGAAUAUCUACGAAUUUCACCUCUACACUCGGAAUUCCACUUACCUCUCUCGAACUCAAGACUAGCAGUAUUAAAGGCAGUUCCAGGGUUGAGCCCUGGGAUUUCACCUCUAACUUACUAAUCCGCCUACGUACGCUUUACGCCCAGUAAUUCCGAACAACGCUAACCCCCUCCGUAUUACCGCGGCUGCUGGCACGGAGUUAGCCGGGGUUUCUUUACCAGAUACUGUCAUUAUCAUCUCUGGCGAAAGUGCUUUACGACCCUAAGGCCUUCAUCACACACGCGGCAUGGCUAGAUCAGGGUUUCCCCCAUUGUCUAAGAUUCCCUACUGCUGCCUCCCGUAGGAGUCUGGGCCGUGUCUCAGUCCCAGUGUGGCUGAUCAUCCUCUCAAACCAGCUAUAGAUCGUAGGCUUGGUAGGCCAUUACCCCACCAACUACCUAAUCUAACGCGGGCUAAUCCUUCUCCGAUAAAUCUUUCCCCCGAAGGGCGUAUAAGGUAUUACUCUCAGUUUCCCGAGGCUAUUCCUUAGAGAAGGGCAUAUUCCCACGCGUUACUCACCCGUCCGCCGCUCACCCCGAAGGGCGCGCUCGACUUGCAUGUAUUAGGCCUGCCGCCAGCGUUCGUUCUGAGCCAGGAUCAAACUCU